rnacentral:sRNA from 1 species
UUAAGGAAAACAAGGCUAGCCGAAGGAAGACGUAACAAGAACAAGAAACAGGGGACCGGGUUUAGUUUUUGGUAAACGUCCAUAAUUCUAUUGAACUCAAUUGAUACCAGCUUGAUUAGAAACCAACGAACCCUUUAUCUUAUUUGAAAAAGCGUUGAAAAUUUUCAAGGGUGUAAAUUUGACUUCUGACGUUUUUGCGAUUAUCGACGAGAUAACCCGAGACUUGGCGUUGUGUUAGCUGAUUGGCCAGUGAUGUGAUGAUAAACAUGGAGAUAUGAUUCUGAAUUGGGAAUGUAUUUAAAAGCUCGUUGGGUACAUUGUCUAUGGAUAUACAAUACGGGUCUGAUAGCCAGCUACUGCUCCCAUGACGCUCAUGACAUGAGGAUACAAGCUGAUUAAAGUACGACCAACAAGUAAUGUAACCACGGCGCAGACUGACAGAACAUCCUCACAAUAACUUACUCCUCGUGAUGUGUGAUAUCAUAAAAGAUAAUAAAUAGAAUU